CAGGGGGCUGCUUACCAUGCAAGUCGAACGGGCGUAGCAAUACGUCAGUGGCAGACGGGUGAGUAACGCGUGGGAACGUACCUUUUGGUUCGGAACAACUGAGGGAAACUUCAGCUAAUACCGGAUAAGCCCUUACGGGGAAAGAUUUAUCGCCGAAAGAUCGGCCCGCGUCUGAUUAGCUAGUUGGUGAGGUAAUGGCUCACCAAGGCGACGAUCAGUAGCUGGUCUGAGAGGAUGAUCAGCCACAUUGGGACUGAGACACGGCCCAAACUCCUACGGGAGGCAGCAGUGGGGAAUAUUGGACAAUGGGGGCAACCCUGAUCCAGCCAUGCCGCGUGAGUGAUGAAGGCCCUAGGGUUGUAAAGCUCUUUUGUGCGGGAAGAUAAUGACGGUACCGCAAGAAUAAGCCCCGGCUAACUUCGUGCCAGCAGCCGCGGUAAUACGAAGGGGGCUAGCGUUGCUCGGAAUCACUGGGCGUAAAGGGUGCGUAGGCGGGUUUCUAAGUCAGAGGUGAAAGCCUGGAGCUCAACUCCAGAACUGCCUUUGAUACUGGAAGUCUUGAGUAUGGCAGAGGUGAGUGGAACUGCGAGUGUAGAGGUGAAAUUCGUAGAUAUUCGCAAGAACACCAGUGGCGAAGGCGGCUCACUGGGCCAUUACUGACGCUGAGGCACGAAAGCGUGGGGAGCAAACAGGAUUAGAUACCCUGGUAGUCCACGCCGUAACGAUGAAUGCCAGCCGUUAGUGGGUUUACUCACUAGUGGCGCAGCUAACGCUUUAAGCAUUCCGUCUGGGGAGUACGGUCGCAGAUUAAACUCAAGGA
rnacentral:rRNA from 1 species